UGCUGUUUUAUUUUAUAUAACAAAUUGCUGGAGGUCCACGAGGGGGCAGGCGGUGGAGAGCCGAGCGCUCGCGCGCUGAGGCGCUAGCUGCAGAGGCUGAUACCCAGCCGGCCGGUGGGAGGAGGGCCACGCGAAAGGUGUGCAAGAGGCCAUCCACUUCGCACCUCGGCUCCUUGCGCAUUCACGGAUUUUGCUGUGCAGCGUCCAGCCAGCCCAGAGACUGGAAAGCUUCUUGCUUUUAAAAGCCCACCUGUGCUCUUUCCAGGAUCCGCACAGUAUUAGCCUCCCCACAUCUUCCCGAUCCCUGCGAGGAACACCGCCCCCCCCUCCACUCCGGACUCCCACGGUCGUUAUCCUGCAACAAUCACUUUCCUCGGGCUGGUCUAGAGGAGUAAAAGCCCAAAACCCCCGAGAUAAAGCCCACCUUUUCCGUCUGAGGUGCCAAAUGAGAGCGGCUAAGGCUGGCGCUAGAGGCCUGGGCUGCUAGGGGGGUCUGAAGAUGGGUAGCCGAGAGGUAGUGGCUACACCCCGGAGGGUCAAGGGGCAUGGACAGAAGCCCGGGGGGGGGCGGUCUGAGAACCACAGGGCACCCCCUUUCACCCGAAGAAUGCUAGGACCUGGGCACCGGGUCUAGGGCCCAGGUUGCUCCAGCGAUUCCGUCUGAAGGGCCUGCAGAAGGAGAGGCCAGGUCUGGAACAGCGAGUCCCUGGCUGAGAAGGCAGCUGGGAAUCAGAGGUGCGCAAGGGGGCGAGGGGAGGAUAAGUAGGCCACGGCUCCGGAGACUGGUGCUGGCCCCCUGGGACACCUCCAUCUCUUCCUCUUCUUGUAAGGCUCCCACCUGGACAGCAUCCCUCGAAACCGGGGACCCCCGCCGCGGCUGGGGCUGGGGGCGGAGUGCGAAUGGGUAAUCUCCGAGCGCAUCUCUUCUCUCUUUGACUCUCCACAUAGCUCUCCGCUCCUCCUGGCCUGGGCGGGUUUCCUUCCGAGUUUUAAGCAGUGACAGAUGAAUAAGCAAAAAACAAAGAGAAAAGGGUAAAUCAAACCACAUUUCACUGCCAAAGAGGUGGCUCAUUCCACACGGGGGGGGGGGGGGAAGACCCCAGGCCCGUGAGGUUGGGCGUGGGAGCCGGGAGAAAAGGCGAGUAUACAUAGCUCUUUUCGUAGCAGUUCCUACGGGUUCUCUCCUUGGACGCGUUCACUUCCCGCAUCUUCCCGUUGAGAGUGAGUUUUGGGUGCCUUUUUUUUCUCCAUAUCCCCAAAGUCCUUGCUCGCUGUGUUUUAUUUUAAAAGGGUCAAACUUGCUGAGCUGGGGUCCUCAGCCAGCACUGGGGUUCUCAUCACGCUGUGAUUCCGCUCCCUACUCUGCAUUUCAGCUCAUGCGGGAAAGAGAAAGAGGGCACUGGUGGGCGCGGCGUGGAUAUAUGAUAUGGUUUAACCUGUGCAGCCGGGUUGCCGCUCCCGAGAGGGCUUCGCCGCGUUUGGGUCCGCGCAGCCUGGCCCGGCGGUGGCGCCUUGGGCCGCGUCCCCGGAGUAACCCUCCUGCCCGGCAGCCGGAGAGGUGUUUAUACAGCUUUACCUGUGUUAUUCUCGUAUCCAGUAAAAAUCCUUGCCCGACCACGGUAACCUAAUCCGGGGGCCGAGGCAGAGGAGGGGGUAGUGGGGCUGGCUCCGUACGAGAAGGAGGUGUGUACGUGCCACAAACCAGGGUCUCUCUUUUGCUCCGCCUUCUCUGAUCAGGAAGGAAAUUCGGACUUGGUUCGGGUGGCUGAGGAGAGGACCCCACAAAAAGGAGAAGGAAACUGGUUUCCAGGUCGCGUUCCUCUCGUCGUUUUCCUAGCAGGCCUGGGAACUCCGGCAGCGACGCAGCCCGGGCGCGCGCGCCCAGAAGGCACCCAGGGGCGCCUGGCAGAGAUUUUGAGGCCCUGACGGGUUUCCCGCCAAGGCCUGUCUCAGGUUGCUCUCUUCCCAGUCGCCUACCUUUCACUCUCACACCUGAGACAAAACGCGCAAGGAAAGGAACGGGCGCCUCCCCAGUCCUCCGGGGAAGCCGCGGCCAGUCGUUCUAAGCGCCCCGGCCGAGGCUGCGGCGGGCGCACAGUAUCGAAUUAAACGCCUCUCGGUGCUGAUUGUCUCUCGCUAAUUGCCCUAACAAUGGACACUGUUAAAAUGGAGACACCCAAUUAAAGGCCUUGCCUGGCCGCGCUCGGCGGCCCGAGAGGAUCUGGGCCCGGGCCUGAGGUUUGCAGACCAUGGGGGCGCGCACCCGGCUGGUGAGGGGCACCGGCGCCGGCCUCGACACCUCUGGCCUCCACUUCCUCCCCAGACGCUCUGCUACCACCACCGCUUCACACUAUUUUUAUUGACCGAUCCCAGCCAAGGAAGAUUGAUCGAGCUGGAAUGGGAAGGGACUUCUCCCCCAGCCCAGGCUCGCCAGGGCCUCGGGCCUUGCUCCCCUGCUGGCCUUUGGAGCCGCUCUGAGCUCUCCCUGCCCCCCAGCCCCGCAAGUUCCCGGCUUCAUUUCAGUCCUUAACAGCUCGGCUGGGUCCGCCCAGGCCGGCGCCGCGACUCCGGGGGGAGGGACGCUGCGGCGCGGCCCGGCUCCGCUUCUUUCUCCCGCCUGCAAAUAUUUGCUGCCUCGCUGGAAAUUCGACUAUUUCGCGCGCGCUCGGUUUGCAAAGUCCUUAAGUAAACACGCUCAAAUGACCGCCCCGGGCGGUCUGAGGCACGCUUUCUACCCCUGAGCCAGAUUAGUAACUUUAGGACUUCAACCCGGAGGCUCUGCUUUGCUGGUUACCCACGGUGCGCUGCGUUCGCGCCCCAGGGCAACCUCUUCCCGCAUCGCGGCCCCGCGGAGCUCGCCUGGUCACGCCAGUCGCCAGGUUCGGAUGGGUGUUGCUGGCUGCGUGGGUUUCGGCUUUCUGGGUUCACCACGCCAGGGUCCAGGCUGAGGAACCCGUUCCACCUUCUUGCGCCAGGGACUCCGUUUCUGCGGGCACUGGGGGUUCCCCACUUCCACCCGGAUAGGGUCUCUGCGCCCCAGGGAGGGCAGGUGGGAGGGACUUGCACAUGGGCAUGUGUUUGGGUGUGUGUGAGUGGGACCCAGUUUGCCCCAACCGAGGAGGGAAAGUCAGGCUCCUUUUCUUACCCUUUCCCCAAGAGGGCACACAUACCCCGCUCAACUUGACGCCUAAAGCAGCCGCCUCGAGGCCCGGGGUUUCAGAUAGGCCAAGGUGCCUCCCGCUGUCUCAUGCUCCGCACUACAACCCGGCUCUUCCGAGGGCGGUGGCUGUGUCUCGCUCGCUCGACUCCAAGAGGCGGGGUCCCAGGCGUCCAGGCCACUCGCCAGCCCCUAGCCCUAGGAAGGGAAGCCUCGCGCACUACGGGAGCCCGGGCUCUACGGCAAGGGCGGUGGCGGCGGCAGCAUCCUUCUCGGUCGCCUCCUCUGUCCCUCGGAGCUCCGCCCGCGGCUCCCUGGGAGGGGGGCAUCCUGGACCCUGUCGGGGCCCGGGUGCCUGGGGAGGGGGCACAGCAGGUCUGCUGGAGGGCGCAGAGGCGUCUCCGCAGGAGGCCAGAAUCAGUUUUGUAGUCUCUGGCCACGAGAGAAUCAGGACCACCUUUCCCUCCUUCCCCGGCCUCCACCU
ensembl:lncRNA